UGGGGAAUUUUGGACAAUGGGGGAAACCCUGAUCCAGCCAUCCCGCGUGUGCGAUGAAGGCCUUCGGGUUGUAAAGCACUUUUGGCAGGAAAGAAACGUCAUGGGUUAAUACCCCGUGAAACUGACGGUACCUGCAGAAUAAGCACCGGCUAACUACGUGCCAGCAGCCGCGGUAAUACGUAGGGUGCAAGCGUUAAUCGGAAUUACUGGGCGUAAAGCGUGCGCAGGCGGUUCGGAAAGAAAGAUGUGAAAUCCCAGAGCUCAACUUUGGAACUGCAUUGUUAACUACCGGGCUAAAGUGGGUCAGAGGGAGGUGGAAUUCCGCGUGUAGCAGUGAAAUGCGUAGAUAUGCGGAGGAACACCGAUGGCGAAGGCAGCCUCCUGGGAUAACACUGACGCUCAUGCACGAAAGCGUGGGGAGCAAACAGG
rnacentral:rRNA from 1 species